CCGGAGCACCGGGGGGGCGGCACGCGCUGGUGUGGCUUGCACACGCGUGUGCAAAUCCUCGUGGGCUGUGGCCUGGAGCCCUGCAGCUUGCACGCUUGUGCACACUCGGACACGCUUGUGCACACACACACACACGCCUUGCACACGCACCCACUGGGCUUGCACCAACACCCCCUCUUGCACACCCACCUUGCACCAACACCCCCAGAUCUUGCACCAACACCCCCUCUUGCACACCCACCUUGCACCAACACCCAUUGGGCUUGCACCAACACCCCCUCUUGCGCACACACCUUGCACCAACACACGCUCGUGCACACCUGCCUCACACCGACAGCCCCUGGUCUUGCACCAACACACCCCCUUGCACACCCACCUUGCACCAAUACCUGCUAGUCUUGCACCAACACCCCCCUCUUGCACACCUACCUUGCACCAGCACACUCUCUUGCACACUCACCUUGCACCAACACCCCCAGGUCUUGCACCGACACCCCCUUGUACACACCCACCUUGCACCCUCACCCUCUUGCACACCCGCCUUGCACAAGCACACCGUUGUGCACACCCACCUUGCACCAAAACAUCCUUUUGCACACCCACCUUGCAUCAACACCCAGUGGUCUUGCACUAACUCACCUUCUUGCACACCCACUUGCACCAACACCCGCCUGUCUUGCACCAACACCCCCUUUUGCACACCCACCUUGCACCAACACCCGCCUGUCUUGCACCAACACCCCCUCUUGCACACCUACCUGACACCAGCUCACCCUCUUGCACAC
rnacentral:lncRNA from 1 species